rnacentral:tRNA from 1 species
UCCCUGGUGGUCUAGUGGCUAGGAUUCGGCGCUUUCACCGCCUGCAGCUCGAGUUCGAUUCCUGGUCAGGGAA